UGAGUUCUGAUCUCAAUGGAUUCUAAGUAGGAGAGUUGCUUGGUGUGCUGUGUCACUGCCUAGAACACACUGUCCUGAUUGAUGAUGAACUCUUUUAUAUGGAAGAUGCAAAACUCUUUUCAUGUUCUUGGUAACAUGAAAUGUUUUUCUCUGGCUGACCAUUAUUCCUUUUACCUCUUGUAGUAAGAAGUACUCAUUAUGAUGCUCUGAUGUGUGACUAAAUCGUCUGGUAAAUAUCAUUGGAAUAAUAUAUAUUUUCAGUUGUAACAAAAGCAAUUGUAAUCCAGAUGCAGUUGGAAAAGCUCUUCCUCUUAAGAACAAGUUUCUUCAUGAGUGAAAUAAAGACACCAAAGACACCUAUCUCCUAAGAUUUUUUCGAAGAGUUGGUGACUCGAAGCCUUCAGAUGAAAGCUCAGUAUGUGAGGACUACUAGUUGGCAUUCUCUGCAGGAGACUAGCCUCACACAGGGGUGACCCUGUGAUGCAGGAAAGGCUAUUUAAUGCCCUGGCGAAGUGGUUGAGGGACCAAGAUUUCAUUAUGCUUCCGGGAUCAGAGUGGUGAUCCAGCAUCCCUGAUUUAGAGCCACUUAGGGCUCCAACAGCUCCACCCCGGAGUUCAAGAGGAAAAUAUUCCUGCAUGGUCUCUGCCUGAUCUGAAAAAGGCACAGCUUCCCGAUGUUCCGCCUGGGAGAUGGUUCAGUCUUCAGAAAUUGCCAGAGAAGCCUGUCCAUCUGCUGGGAUGCCUGGCUUUCUGGAACGGACGAGAAGGAGUUAGACUUUUAAUCGGAGUAAGUUGAGGAUUUUCUGUUUGUAACUAAAAACCGCCGUUUAAUUCAAAAUAAAAAAGACACAUGCUGUGGCAGGUAGA